rnacentral:rRNA from 1 species
GACGAACGCUGGCGGCGUGCCUAAUACAUGCAAGUCGAACGCAGUGGGGACGGGUGAGUAACACGUGGGUAACCUCCCAUCAGAGGGGAUAACACUUGGAAACAGGUGCUAAACCGAUACUGAUAGAUGAACCAGCGGUGCAUUAGCUAGUUGGUGAGGUAACGGCUCACCAAGGCCACGAUGCAUAGCCGACCUGAGAGGGUGUGCGGCCACACUGGAACGGAGACACGGCCCAGACUCCUACGGGAGGCAGCAGUAGGGAAUCUUCGGCAAUGGACGAAAGUCUGACCGAGCCACGCCGCGUGAGUGAAGACGGUUUCCGGAUCGUAAACCUCUGUUGUUAGAGAAGCGUCAUCUAACGAGAAAGCCACGGCCAACUACGUGUCAGCAGCCGCGGUAAUAC